rnacentral:rRNA from 1 species
AGCGGCGGACGGGUGAGUAACGCGUGGGUAACCUGCCUCAUACACAUGGAUAACAUACCGAAAGGUAUGCUAAUACAAGAUAAUAUAAGAGAUUCGCAUGGGUCUCUUAUCAAAGCUCCGGCGGUAUGAGAUGGACCCGCGUCUGAUUAGCUAGUUGGUAAGGUAACGGCUUACCAAGGCGACGAUCAGUAGCCGACCUGAGAGGGUGAUCGGCCACAUUGGAACUGAGACACGGUCCAAACUCCUACGGGAGGCAGCAGUGGGGAAUAUUGCACAAUGGGCGAAAGCCUGAUGCAGCAACGCCGCGUGAGCGAUGAAGGCCUUCGGGUCGUAAAGCUCUGUCCUCAAGGAAGAUAAUGACGGUACUUGAGGAGGAAGCCCCGGCUAACUACGUGCCAGCAGCCGCGGUAAUACGUAGGGGGCUAGCGUUAUCCGGAUUUACUGGGCGUAAAGGGUGCGUAGGUGGUUUCUUAAGUCAGGAGUGAAAGGCUACGGCUCAACCGUAGUAAGCUCUUGAAACUGGGAAACUCGAGUGCAGGAGAGGAAAGUGGAAUUCCUAGUGUAGCGGUGAAAUGCGUAGAUAUUAGGAGGAACACCAGUAGCGAAGGCGGCUUUCUGGACUGUAACUGACACUGAGGCACGAAAGCGUGGGGAGCAAACAGGAUUAGAUACCCUGGUAGUCCACGCCGUAAACGAUGAGUACUAGGUGU